ensembl:lncRNA
AUGUACUUCUCGCACCAGGAGGCCGGGAGCUCCGUUCCUGCCCACGGAUGCUGGCCCGGGAGGGAGCUUUGUCACCUGCACCGAGGGGUCCUGUGUGAGCGAUUUGGCCCCACCUCACCUGCGACCUCCUUUCUGCGAUUUUGUAAGUCAUCGCUUUUUGACUCAGUUUCUCUCCGACUGAAUGAACCACACAAGCUUUCUUUACCACCCCUUCGGAGACCGUUGGUAAAACACGCUCGACACACCUUUCAGAGCCUUGUGGAUGAGCCGAGGGAGGGGGGCGGGGGGAGGAAGACUGGGGGAGUACCCCUACCCCCACCACACAUCCCGGGAUGCCGAGGCAUUGCCAGCGUGUGCCCAACUGCCACCUGGGCCUCCUUUCACUUCCCGGAGUAUCCUGAUGGAGGAUGAAUAAGGUAACCACAAAAACAUAACAGACCCGGGUAAGUUCAAAGUCAGGAGUAAGAGACAAAGAUAGAUAGAUAGUUAUGAUAGAUGAUAGAUAGAUAGAUAGAUAGAUAGAUGAUAAAUGGAUAGGUGGAUGGAUGCAGUUAGAAAGACAGAAGAUCAAGAGAAUCUCCACUUCUUCAAACAGGAAUCACUGAGUAGCACCUGCCUCUGGGGCUGGGGAGCGGACUAGGUGGCCGGUGUGUUAGCCGUGCUGGCUGGACAAGUCAGCUUGGGGUUUCUCACCAGGCAGCUAGUUGAGGCACUGGCAAAGAAGGCGUUCACCUCCCCAAGAAAGAAAAAAAGCAUCCGUCUCAAGAGAAAAUAAUCAUCGCAUGUAAUUUUGUGUGUCAUUUCCAAAACUAUCUUUCCAUUUUAUGGUUUAAUACCGUUUUCUUUUGAACUUCAUCGGGGCUGGGGAGAGGACCCACGGGCACGUGAGGGCCUCCCAGAUGGCUUUGCAAAUUGUAAGGGCCCAGGCUGCCAUCAGCUCUUAGAUUCUGCGUCACCUGAUGUCCUAGUGGCCCGGCAGGCCGGGCCGGUGAGGGCGAGGUUGGAGGGCGUACACCAUGUGACGGGGACAAAGAUGAUGGAGGGCUGGCUUCUGCCUGAAUUGGGGGAUGGGAGAGGGGUAGGGGAGACAGAGCAUAGAAAACGGCCUUACCAAUAAGAGCCCAAACUUCCUGCCGGUGUCCGUGCACACAUGACCCAAACGAAGCAGAUGUAGCUGUGGCCAAAGGAGGCGGUUUUCAUUCUAGAAACGUCCACAUCUCCUGCUCCUGCAACCAAAUGUCUUCUCGAUUUUUACACAGGCUUCUAAAAAUGGCAUCAACAACCACCCAGUGCCCAGGGCCUUGGCAGGCUAGGUAGUUGAAUCUGGAGGGAGCACUGCGUGGCCAGCCCCAUCAACCCGGCCUCUGCCCCACUGAGGAGGAAGCUGGAGCCGUCACAAUGACCGUGACAUCCCGCAGUUCUGGCUUGAACUCUCCCUCUAUAAGGCGUUCCUGCCUCUGAUAACUCAACCUCAGGUCAAGUUGUCAGGUCUUUAUGGCUGAGACUUUCUUCCCUGCUUCUUAAACCUUAAACUGGCUUAAGCAAAAUGGGAACUCAUUGGCUCAUAGGACUUAAAGAACGAGGACUGAUGGCUUCAGGCGUGGCUAGAUCCAAGCCUGGGGUCCGAGCCGUAUAUCCGCUGAGGUUGUUUCUUUUCCUGCUUUCUUCUACGUUGACUUUGCUCUUGGAUAGGUUCUCUUUCUGGAGCGGUCCCUGGUUCACCUGGUUUACCAGCCCCACCGGAACUAAAACACCUCUUUGCCGGCAAUUCCAGCAAAAGUCUUGGCUCAAGCCUCAUCAGACUAACUUACACCAUCCGUGAAUCAAUCCACUCGUCAAGCCUAUAAGAAUCAGCCGGCCAUUCCUGAAGCCAAGAAUCAGGGUCAUCAACCACACAAUCGGUAAGCAGGGAUGUAGUUAGCCAGAGAAAAGCCAGGGAGCUUUAUCACCUUCACCAGUAGAAAGAAAACGGAUGCCGUGGAAACCAAAUCCAUGAAUGCCCACGACGAGCCGUAAAUGCUCGAUACACUUUAGCCAUUAACCAAAAGUUAAAGGCGGGAUCACAGAAGCUCUGGAAUCGCACCCAUAAGCUGGUGGUUCUUCACCUUGACAGGACGCUAAAGAUUCCCACAGAGCUUUUAAAAUUCUUCCAUCCCGGGGCGCCUGGGUGGCUCAGUCGGUUAAGCGGCCGUCUUCGACUCAGGUCAUGAUCUCGCGGUCCGUGAGUUCCAGCCCCGCGUCGGGCUCUGUGCUGACGGCUCGGAGCCUGGAGCCCGCUUCGGAUUCUCUGUCUCCCUCUCUCUCUGCCCCUCCCCCGUUCAUGCUCUGUCUCUCUCUGUCUCAAAAAUAAAUAAACAUUAAAAAAAAAUUAAAAAAAUAAA